rnacentral:rRNA from 1 species
AUUGAACGCUGGCGGCAGGCCUAACACAUGCAAGUCGAACGAGUGGCGGACGGGUGAGUAGUGUCUGGGAACCUGCCUGAUGGAGGGGGCUAACUACUGGAAACGGUAGCUAAUACCGCAUACCAUCGGAUGUGCCCCGGUGGGAUUAGCUAGUAGGUGGGGUAAAGGCUCACCUAGGCGACGAUCCCUAGCUGGUCUGAGAGGAUGACCAGCCACACUGGAACUGAGACACGGUCCAGACUCCUACGGGAGGCAGCAGUGGGGAAUAUUGCACAAUGGGCGCAAGCCGGAUGCAGCCAGGCCGCGUGGAUGAAGAAGGCCUUCGGGUUGUAAAGUACGUUCAGCGGGGAGGCGGUACCCGCAGAAGAAGCACCGGCUAACUCCGUGCCAGCAGCCGCGGUAAUUC